UUGUCAAAUAAAGCUUAGUUCUUAUCCUUUUCAAGUCAAAGUAAAUACGAAAGAUAUAAAGGGGUCUUAAAAAUAUUCUUGCCGAUACUUUGUGAGCGAUGGAUUUGGACACGAAACUGAAUCUGCGUCUAAAAAUAAAUGACUUGGUCAAAUUGAACAAAUGUCGGUGCAUCUCAGGUCUGUAAUGUGUUGCACCAUUUGUUUCGACCAAAUAUUUAUUUAACGUGUACCAAUAUCAUAUUAAUAUAUACAAUUUUGAUAAAGUCUCACUUUUAGCAAAUAACACACUAUAUUAAUAUUUUUUUAAAAUGCUUUUUUACAUGGACUGAUAUGAGAAACAUCAUACAGAGUAUAAAUACAAAUUUGUCGAUUUUUAUAUAUGUAUAACCUGUUGUAUUACUACUAGUAUCAAAUGUAUCAUAGAGGAUAGAAUAAAAUAAAUUCAAAAGCUA